GACGAACGCUGGCGGCGUGCUUAACACAUGCAAGUCGAACGAAGAGCGAUGGAAGCUUGCUUCUAUCAAUCUUAGUGGCGAACGGGUGAGUAACGCGUAAUCAACCUGCCCUUCAGAGGGGGACAACAGUUGGAAACGACUGCUAAUACCGCAUACGAUCCAAUCUCGGCAUCGGGACUGGAUGAAAGGUGGCCUCUAUUUAUAAGCUAUCACUGAAGGAGGGGAUUGCGUCUGAUUAGCUAGUUGGAGGGGUAACGGCCCACCAAGGCGAUGAUCAGUAGACGGUCUGAGAGGAUGAACGGCCACAUUGGGACGGGGACACGGCCCAGACUACUACGGGAGGCAGCAGUGGGGAAUCUUCCGCAAUGGACGAAAGUCUGACGGAGCAACGCCGCGUGAGUGAUGACGGCCUUCGGGUUGUAAAGCUCUGUUAAUCGGGACGAAUGGUUCUUGUGCGAAUAGUGCGAGGAUUUGACGGUACCGGAAGAGAAAGCCACGGCUAACUACGUG
rnacentral:rRNA from 1 species